GGAAUAUCCAUCAGGCAAAGAAAUGACUUCAGAGGAAUUAAAACAGGCGAUUGUAUCGAUGAUGUUAAGAAAAGAUGAAGUUGAAGAACGUAACAGGUUGUAUUAUCGUCCUUCGUUUAAUAUUAACAUUCCAUUCGAAUAUACACUAUUUUGCCCUGAUUUUUCCUUCGAUCAUCUUUCCUGUAGAUCGUUACAACAACAUUUGGAAAAA